rnacentral:rRNA from 1 species
AUUGAACGCUGGCGGCAGGCCUUACACAUGCAAGUCGAACGACUGGCGGACGGGUGAGUAAUCUCUAGGUAACUGCUCGACGGAGAUAGAUAACUACUGGAAUCGGUAGCAAAUACCGCGUACCAUCCGGUGUGCCUAUCUGGGAUUAGCUUGUAGGUGAGGUAACGGCUAACCUAGGCGACGAUCCCUAGCUGGUCUGAGAGGAUGACCAGCCACACUGGAACUGAGAAACGGCCCAGACGCCUACGGGAGGCAGCAGUGGGGAAUAUUGCACAAUGGGGGCAAGCCUGAUGCAGCCAUGCCGCGUGGAUGAAGAAGGCCUUCGGGUUGGAAAGUACUUUCAGCGGGGAGGCGUUACCCGCAGAAGAAGCACCGGCUAACUCCGUGCCAGCAGCCGCGGUAAUUC